UUUUUUUUCUUUUCUUUUUAUGGCCACACCCGCAGCACAGAGACGUUUCCAGGCCAGAGAUUCAAUCCGGCCGCAGCUGGGGCAACCCUGGAUCCUUUAACCCACUGCACUAGGCCAGGGAUCGAGCCCCCGCCACCACAGGGACCUGAGCCACUGCAGUCGGAUUCUUGACCCGCUGCGCCACAGUGGGGAUGCCUGCUUUAUCCUUUGACAUAAACGUGGAGUCAUUUAGAGGAGAAUUAUCAUUCCACUUACACCACGACUGGCCCCAGGGACAACUUCCCCGGGGCAUCAACCAUGGUACCACAUCUGUGGGACACGUAUAUGGAGAAAACAAAUUCCUUUGACACAAGAUAAGCAAAGUUGAAGAAGCAAAGUUUUUGGAGUUCCCGUCGUGGCACAGCAGAAACAAACCCGACUGGUAUCCAAGAGGAUGAAGGUUUGAUCCCUGGUCUUGCUCAGUGGGUUAAGGAUCCGGCAUUGCCGCGUGCUGUGGUGUAGGUCACGGGUCGUCUCUACAGAGGUGUUUAUGGAAGCAAAGACGUUUCUGGAAUAGCGGUGAGACUCGAGCAGGUCCUCUUUCUGGCCACAGCACUGGAUUUCACUGGACUCGGUUUCUGGAAGGGCCCCACCACUUCCUGACCCCGAAAGGCAGACCCCCACCCGGCCCAUCAGCCCUCACCCCCCAGCAUCUGACGUUCUUCUCCCGCCUCCUCCCUGACCCAGCCCGUCCAUCCGGGCCUCCCUCACCUCGACGUGGAGGCUGCACACCCCUGGCCCCUCCAGAAGCCUGGGGCGACUCCGAGGGGGACAGGCCACAGACGCACACCAGGUCAAAGGCAACUGUUUGCCCAGAGGGACGGACCACCUUCUCCUUCAACCACAGGGAAGGAGCAGGGGGACGCCCAGGGGACAGCAAGGACCAGGACAGAGCAGAGGAUGCGUGUCUGUGUCCGGCGACCGCAGGGCUCGCCCCUGGGGAGGGGUGACGAAUCCUGGGGAAGGAAACGCAUCCCCCACAGGAAAACAAAACAGCUCUGCGCCCGCCCUUAGCGCGGGAGGAAGAUGCCCCGCGUGGCCCCGAUGGCGCCCUCUCCUCGGCCUCUGCGACGGUCCUGGGGACACUUGACCCACUUCCCUGCGGAUGUGUCGUAAGAGUGCGCCUCUGGUUUAUGGGCAAACCCCUCGCCUGGGGAGGAAGGCGGCCAUGCUCCAUCCACGGCAGCUUCCUCUGCGGCGAGGCCUGCACUCACGUUGCUGCCACUUGUCCUGAGCGAGGGGUCCCCUCAAACAAGUGCCCCAGCGGGGAGCAGGCCGAGGCCUGCAGGAAGGGGCCCAGAGCCUGCCUGGCACAUGGCCCGGGCUUGGGCCAAAGGUCAGACACGCCACCUGGCUCUGGAAGCUUCUCCACAUGGACCUGCCCGUUCAAGGGACCCCGAUCUGCCUCUGAUGGGCCGGGGGGUGCGGUUUGCCCGAUCCAGCUGCGUCCCCUAGUUCGUCCACCUUCCAACACCAGCGAGGGAGGCGCCUGAGCUAAGGCCUGGGGCUGCAGGCAGGGGCGUGGGCCCCGAGGGGCCUCUGGGGGCCAGGAGAGGCGUCUGCAGAUGGGGGCCACCAAGCCUGCAGGCGCUGGGACAGCCACGACGAUCCCUCCCCCUUCCUGAACCUGACCCUCCGCCUCUCCCCCACCCCCAUGGAAGGGGCUGCCCUGGCCGUGGUCCUGGGGUCGCCCUCUCACCCCAAACAGAUAACGGAGGCCUCGCUCGCCUCCUCGCAGGACGCGACGAACCAACUCUCACCGCAACGACCUUUCAGCCGGGCUUCAAGUCUCCACCAGCCUCCUACCCCGUGGAGCCAGAGGACCUUUCGCGCCGACAGAUCCCUUUGCCGCCCUCCUCUGCAAACGCCUCCAACGGCUUUCCACGCCAGCAAGCUCCUUGGGAGGCCUUCACGGCCUGGGCUUUUCUAGCUUCAUCGAUGUGUCCACCCACGGAUAAUUCACUCGCCUACUUAUGCAUCCACCUGUCUCAUCAGCAUCUGCCUCCCAGAGCUGCUCACCUGGCCCCGACCUCCAAGGGACCACCCCGUCCUUAUGACAGAGCAGCUAAGGGCUUACUCUUAAUCCUAAGUCCUGUUCAUCCCCCGGGCGUGUUCCUGCAUCCCCACCGCCCUCUGCAUGCCUGCAUCUCAGUCCUUCGGGCAGGAGAGCCUCAUUGCUGCUGCCCUCCGCCCGUGUACCAGUUGACGUGUCUCCCCGAUGGGGUCCCUUCUCCCACUCUGGAUUCCAUCGCACUGACUCCUGCAACUUGCUGGGACGGCCCCACUGCUUCUCACUAGGUUCCCCAGCCCCCGUUCCCUUGGGAACCACUUCCUCCUCCCUCCCCAGCGUCCGCAGCCCAGGCAGUACUCCCCCUCCACGGGCACCCCCCACCCUAGCGGGCAGGCCCAGCUCUGGACAGGGUCAGUGCCACUCCACCUCCCCAGCUCUGGGAAGAGCAGAUGCGAGGGCCGGAAAAGCCUGGAAGUCAGAGUCAAGGGAGGACAAGACAGAACCCCCGUGGGAAGAGCUGGCCACCUGCAGAUCCAGCGGCACCAGUCUCCCCAACACCGUCUGCCUGAGAAAAUGAAAUCAGGUGCACCUCCUCCACCAGGAAGGCCUCCAGACCCCUCCCGACAGCAAGCUGGGGGUCCCCGGGUGACUGCAGCCUUGCCUGGUGCGGGAGGGGUCUGCACCGCACCUCCUCCAACAGGGUGAGCUGCUCCCAGCCCUGCCCUUCCUUGCGAGGGGGAGAAGAGGCAGCAGGGAGCUUCAGGAGUCAACGGAACCAGAACCAGAGGGGCCCCCAGGCUCCGCAGGCCAGUGGGGCAGAUCGGCCAAGCAGGACUAGCAGAGGUCCUGGGGACAGAGGUCUCAGAGGGGCAGAGACUGGCCGGGGGGAAAGACCAAACAGUCCUGACACCGUCCAGACUUUUAGAGAUGAACAAAAAACCACCGCAGUGUUCACAAAAGCACAUGUUUGUAGAAAGCUGAUACGGACACAAGCACGUUUUGCUUGGAAAGAUGGAUGGCGGGGUGGUUUCCUGCAAUGACCUCUUUCCAGUUCGAAGAACCUUACUGGUUUCACUAGGACAGGAUGUGCUGUGACCUGGCAGAGCAACAAGAGAAGGACAAAACCGAGAAAAAAUUCAUUGGGGUUUCUGUCAGACCGAGGAGAUAAGAAGAAAAUCCUCAAGCAUCCUGGCCCCAGAUGACAGAAACGACUUCCGAGUCUCAAAGACGUUCUGGCCUCGUGGUCACUGGCGCUGCCCCCCGGGGUCCUGCUUUUAUAGGAUUUCGUUUAAUUGUAGCAAAAUACACUUAACAAACGUUGCCAUUUUAACCGUCCACUCAUUUUAACACUGAGUGUACAGCUCAGAGGCAUUAAGUCCACGGAGCAAACUUCACCACUGGCAUCUCCAGAACCUUUUCAUCUUCUCAGACAAACUCAACACACAUCCCCCAGCCCAGCCCCUGGGAGCCUCUAAUUCUAUUUUCUGUCUCCGCCAAUGUGACGACUCUGGGGACCUCCUUUGCAUGACAUCCCACAGCAGCUGUCCUUUCGCAUCCGGCUCCUCUCACCGAGCAGGCUCCUCAGGGUUUUCCAGCUCGUAGCUGCGCCACAUCUUCUCUCUCCUUUUUCUUCUCAGUGGCCACACCCACAGCACAUGGAAGUUCCCCAGCC
ensembl:lncRNA